GGGGGUGGCUGGAUUCGACGGGGAUACCCAGGCGAGGUGGCAAGCGGAGCUGGCCGCGAGCUCCUAAAACACGCGGCGAUACAAAUAAGUGCCGACUACGCAACUGUUCCUGCCUACGCGCUGAACUGAUGGCGUAGGCCGUUCCACCGAAUCUUGCCCGCGGGUUCGGUGGGGCGUGGACGAAGCGGGCUGGCCAUCUCUCCUUGCCUCCGGGAGGGAUGGUGAGAAUUAGGGAGGCUGGGGCCAUGGCGAUCCUGCCCGUGGGGAGCGCCGGGCCCGAGAGAUAAAACACGGGCUAAGCUUGUAGAAGCCAAGCCCGAGGGUAUCUCCGGACCGGGGUUCGAAUCCCCGCACCUCCACCA
rnacentral:tmRNA from 1 species